rnacentral:ncRNA from 1 species
UUUACUCAGGAGAGUCUCUUAUUAAAGAGCGCCGAAGGUGUAAGCGGCACACUGUUUCUGUCUUACAGAAAAGCCGUGAGUCUCUCAGGCAAAAGGAUGGAGGUAUAA